rfam:Kluyveromyces lactis strain NRRL Y-1140 chromosome D complete sequence.
CUCUCGGUAGCCAAGUUGGUUUAAGGCGCCAGACUGUAAUUUGAAAACACAAAGCAAUUUGUAAUCUGGAGAUCGGGCGUUCGACUCGCCCCCGGGAGA